UACGUAGGGUGCGAGCGUUGUCCGGAAUUAUUGGGCGUAAAGAGCUCGUAGGCGGUGUGUCGCGUCGGCCGUGAAAACCUGGGGCUCAACUCUGGGCGUGCGGUCGAUACGGGCAUCACUUGAGUUCGGCAGGGGAGACUGGAAUUCCUGGUGUAGCGGUGAAAUGCGCAGAUAUCAGGAGGAACACCGGUGGCGAAGGCGGGUCUCUGGGCCGAUACUGACGCUGAGGAGCGAAAGCUAGGGGAGCAAACGGG
rnacentral:rRNA from 1 species